GACGAACGCUGGCGGCGUGCCUAAUACAUGCAAGUCGAACGCUUCCUACCGGUGCUUGCACCGGGAAAGAAGAGUGGCGGACGGGUGAGUACACGUGGGUAACCUACCUACAAGCGGGGGAUAACAUUCGGAAACGGAUGCUAAUACCGCAUAGAUCUUUUUGUCUCCUGGCAGAAAGAAGAAAGACGGUUUCGGCUGUCACUUGUAGAUGGACCCGCGGCGCAUUAGUUAGUUGGGGAGGUAAUGGUUCACCAAGACGAUGAUGCGUAGCCGACCUGAGAGGGUGAUCGGCCACACUGGGACUGAGACACGGCCCAGACUCCGGCGGGAGGCAGCAGUAGGGAAUCUUCCGCAAUGGACGAAAGUCUGACGGGGCAACGCCGCGUGAGUGAAGAAGGUUUUCGGAUCGUAAAACUCUGUUGUUGGAGAAGAACAAGGAUGAGAGUAACUGCUCGUCCCUUGACGGUAUCUAGCCAGAAAGCCAUGGCUAACUACGUGCCAGCCGCCGCGGUAA
rnacentral:rRNA from 1 species